AGAUGAUUCAUCCAAUCACAAGCAUUUUUAUGAAAGUGCCUGCCCUUUCCCAAACAGUUUCCAAUGACGAUUUCUGAUCAGGUUAGCAGAGGCUCCCUGCUGCAUAAAACAAGCGCCUCCACCACCACAUGAGUAGCAUCAGACACCCAUCCAGGCUGCUAACGGCUGCGCCCCUCUCAUGUCUCCUCUUUAUGUCAAGAUGGAGGUGAAAAUGAACUGGAGCAGGGGAAUAGGAGUUUUGAUUCCAGUAUAUAUGUUGUUUUAACUGAUGACUAACAAUUAAUGCAUGUUAAUAGCAUGUGGAAGCUUGGAGAACACAGUUUUUCUUGCGGUAGAGUUCAGGGCUGAAAGUGCAAAUAAGCUUUAAUCCAAUCCAUUAGAUCCAUCCAAAUAUUUUUAUUGGUUGAACUAGGACCAUACAUCUUUCAUGGAUUUAAUGGGGCAUGGUACAAGCAAGGUCCAAGCCAUUUCACUUUAAAGUAACCAUAGUAUAUGAGUUUUAUUUGACAAAAAAAAAA